ACGCUGGCGGCGUGCCUAAUACAUGCAAGUCGAACGGUCUUUCUAUGGAAGCUUGCUUCACUGAGAAGAUAGUGGCGAACGGGUGAGUAACACGUGGGUAACCUGCCCAUAAGAGGGGGAUAACAUCCGGAAACGGGUGCUAAUACCGCAUAGUUUUUCUUGAUCGCAUGAUUGAGAAAGGAAAGACGGCCUUUGUGCUGUCGCUUAUGGAUGGACCCGCGGCGUAUUAGUUAGUUGGUGAGGUAACGGCUCACCAAGACGAUGAUACGUAGCCGACCUGAGAGGGUGAUCGGCCACAUUGGGACUGAGACACGGCCCAAACUCCUACGGGAGGCAGCAGUAGGGAAUCUUCCGCAAUGGACGAAAGUCUGACGGAGCAACGCCGCGUGAGUGAAGAAAAGGUUUUCGGAUCGUAAAACUCUGUUGUCAGAGAAGAACAAGUUGGAGAGUAACUGCUCCAGCCUUGACGGUAUCUGACCAGAAAGCCACGGCUAACUACGUGCCAGCAGCCGC
rnacentral:rRNA from 1 species